UCGCAAUGCGAUCGGUUGGUUGAAUGGUGGCUUUCUUUUGAACGCCAACUCACGUCGGAAGCAGACCACGCCCGGAUGCGGCCAGCCCAUUUUGUGCUUCCUGACUUCGAAUGACGUGAAAUGCCAAAUGUGUUUGCGACUCGUUCGAGAUCAACGACCAACUCCGACAACUUGGAUGACUUCUUCUAAGAGACAUUUGUCGCACGGCGUGAGCUCGCUUUUUAGCACAACAUGAAUACAAUUGAGUCAAAAUAAACACAGACACGCACUUUAAAUGGAUCAAUAGUACCCAUAAAUGAGUGACUCGUCUGUGUAGCCACCGUGAGAGGGAUUAACCCAGGGGUGCCGAAAGAUGUGGAACUCCUUUUUUUUUUUUUUUUUUUGGCCUGCCAUCACAGCUAUUUAUAUUGCCCUAAAUGGACUAAAAAGGGGAUGUAAUUCAGCGCGUUUUCAAUAGGGUGACUCCUCCAGGGGGAAAAUGAAGCGCAAGGUACCAUAUUUGGAACAUGAUGAAAUCUCCAGCGCGGUUACAAACGCACCAAAUAAAACUGCCAUCUCAAUGGAAAAAAAAAAAAAA